rnacentral:lncRNA from 1 species
ACGGGUUUUUGGAGAUUGGAUUACUGAUGCAGUGAUUGUGGAAGGAAGCGUUGAUUACCGUAGCUUGAGCUUGAAUGGACGUGAUAAUUGCUGGUCUUGUGAUUGAUUUUUCGUUGGGCAAGAGCUAGGUGUUGAGUAAUUCUGGCUAGCAUAUAUUUUCCUACACUCGGUGUGCGGUGAUAGCCUUGCUGGAGCGUCCAAGCGGCCACCCACUUCGGGUUUAACAUUUGCUUCCAAUAAAAAUGGCGGCCACAUAAAUCUCCGCUGGUUCGAGUUAGUGCUAAUGAUUCAUUGAAUGUUGCAUUUUCUCUCUUC